rnacentral:misc_RNA from 1 species
GAUGAAGAACGCAGCAAAAUGCGAUACUUGGUGUGAAUUGCAGAAUCCCGUGAACCAUCGAGUUUUUGAACGCAAGUUGCGCCCGAAGCCUUUUGGCCGAGGGCACGUCUGCCUGGGUGUCACGCAUCGCGUCGCCCCCCCACAAUUCUCUGUAAAGGGAACUCGUGUUUUGGGGGCGGAUAUUGGUCUCCCGUGCUCGUGGCGUGGUUGGCUGAAAUAGGAGUCCCUUCGAUGGACGCACGAACUAGUGGUGGUCGUAAAAACCCUCGUCUUUUGUUUCGUGCUGUUAGUCGCAAGGGAAACUCUAAGAAAACCCCAACGUGUCGUCUUUUGACGGCGCUUCGACCGCGACCCCAGGUCAGGCGGGACUACCCGCUGAGUUUAAGCAUAUCAAUAAGCGGAGGA